UAGCUCAGUGGUAGAGUGCUUGCCUUGCAUGCAUGAGGCCCUGAGUUCAAUUCCUCAG
rfam:Dipodomys ordii contig_19530, whole genome shotgun sequence.